rnacentral:lncRNA from 10 species
CCACGUAGCCGCCUCCUUCCACCGCUCGCUUUAUCCCCGCCCCUUCUCGGGCCAACCCCAAGCGCCGCUGACCCCGAACGUCGCUGCGGGAUAGAUGGAAUGUACAGCCAGAGGAUUGGAUGAGGUCAUCGACGGAGAGAAUGCAGAGAGAAUCCUGGGGCUCACCAACAUGAAGAAUUUGGGACAAGAAAGAAGAUCCAGCAGAGAAGACUGAAAGAAGGCAACUAAUGAAAUAGGAGAGAACCUGGAGAGCACAGAGUCUUAGAGGCCAAGAAAGUGGUUUAAUAUAAUCCGUAUCAAAGCAUUUGUGGUUUAUUUUUGUUAACUGACAAAAGGAUUCUAAAACAUACCUGAAAAGUAUAAUUCACACCUAGGAUAAUGGAUCAUUCUGUCACAUUGUUCCUUUUUCACAGCUGAUAUGAACAUGAUAUUUUCAUGACUUUGUAAAAUAAAAAUGGAAUCUUUCUAAUUUUUUUAAAAAAACUGCUUACUUAUGCAAGCCUUCUGUCUCUCACUGUAUAACCCCUCCACUUUUAUACGGGUCACACAUGUUUCUGUCACUUUCCUGGAGCCCUUGUAGCAAAUUAAUAACAUGUAGCACAUGCUUGAAGAAAAAUUUGUCUAGGACAUUUUGUUUUUGAGAUUCAUAAAUUGACUCUAUUUUACAUAAGAAUCUAUUAUGCCAUAGGAAGCUUAUUAAACCCUUGAGCAGGAACAAAUUAUUCAAUAAAUGGUGAUGAGAUGAAUGCCU